CUUUUUCUUCGCUUUACUUUUCUUUACCGUGACCCAACUACUCAUUCUCUUACCUUAAUAUCUAGAAAUCAAUUACUUACUUUUUUUUCUCUUCCAACCCCUAGACUCCGAUGAUUCAUCAUUCUCACCAAAGACCAAAGGUCACGGUUACUCCCCGGCAUUUUCUCCUGCACUGAAAGGUAUGACAAAUUCUAACUUAGUUUACCCUAUUUCUUUAUAGUUUGACCUAGAUCCCCUUCAAUCGGCCGUCAAUUUCUCACCGGCGGCGUUAAUUUCUGAAACUAUUGUCAAUUUCUAGAAACCACAAUGAAUGAAACCGGAGAAAAUUCUCAUCCAGAUUGCCGCUUCUAUGUUAGUGUGGUCAAGAGGCAGAUUUGUGUGGUCAUGAUUUUGUGGACACUACGGACGUUUUAGAGAUUUGGUUGUUUAACACUUAAAGAAUAUCGUCUACACUAGAAGGAGGAGAAGAGAAUUUAAAAAUGAUGUGGUCAGGUUUGUGUUGUUAAUGAUCACAUUUGUGUGGUUAAUGUGUUUUAAAAAUGAUGAAGAAUGUUGUCAGGUUUAUGUAAUAUAACUAUGGUUACUUUUAUACUUUAAACUUGACCGGACUAUGUGAGAUUUGGUUGAAAAAUAAACGUGAUAUUUGGUACAA